rfam:Gloeomargarita lithophora Alchichica-D10 chromosome.
UCUGGUGUCUAUGGCACGGUGGAACCACGCCGAUCCAUCCCGAACUCGGAGGUGAAACGCUGUUGCGGCGACCAUAGUAGGUGGGUAACUGCCUGUGAAAAUAGCACGAUGCCAGGA